AACGUACGCUGGCGGCACGCCUAAUACAUGCAAGUCGAACGAGAAAAUUUCCUUCGGGAAACUAGUAAAGUGGCGCAAGGGUGAGUAACACGUGAAUAAUCUGCCCUCGAGAUCGGGAUAACAUGGUGAAAACUAUGCUAAUACCGGAUAAGACCACAUUUCAUAAGAAAUGCGGUAAAAGGAGUCUCAAUCUUCACUCGAGGAUGAGUUCGCGCAACAUUAGCUUGUUGGUGAGAUAAAAGCUCACCAAGGCUACGAUGUUUAGCCGGCCUGAGAGGGCGAACGGCCACACUGGAACUGAGACACGGUCCAGACUCCUACGGGAGGCAGCAGUGGGGAAUAUUGCGCAAUGGGCGAAAGCCUGACGCAGCAACGCCGUGUGAGCGAUG
rnacentral:rRNA from 1 species